ensembl:lncRNA
CGAAAUAUUUUGGUCAGAGUUAAAACAAACCAACGUUAAUGAUUGUGAGGUCAAAUACACUCAACCAUCCAUCCUGAUUCCAAAGAGGGGUUGAGGGAACAGACACGAUUUCCCCGAUGAACAGACAUAAACCUACAGGUAGUUCAGUGUUUGAGGAAACAACCAUUGAAUAGAUUUUCUGAUGUGAAGCACAAUGUGCUCGGAAGCAGAGGCUCAUCAACGGGACAGGAUCUCAACUCAAGGUCCGCUGGUUUUACAAAGCGCCUUCAGGUACAUGCUGCAGUCCUUUUCACACCUCCACACCUGCCGCAUUAGGUGGAAUUAUUCCACAUUGAAAUGGCACAAAAUAUCUGGUAAGUAAGUGAGGUUAAGUACCUUCAGUCAGGACGGUUUCGUCAAAGUUCAACCUUGGGUUUACUGGAGGGGAUCGGCUUAAUGGAAGCCACCUGCAGGUGUUGGGUUCCCUUGUGUGUGUCUGUGUGUGUCUGCCCAGCUGCUCUCCAUCAUAUCACCACUCCACAGCAAUCUGCCCCUUUCCCAUCCGCUCUUCAGUGGUAAACAACGCGUGCUGGGCUGUACGAGUAAUUUAAAGUAAUUUAAAGUAUUGACUAGUGUUGCACGGUGUACCGGUACUAGAAAGGUACCGCGGUACCCAUACGUUGAAAACAAUACGGUUUUGAAUAUUUUUAGUACCAGUACUUUAAGAAAAGCAGCAAUUGUAGCGCACUGACUGUCCCGCUCCGUGUCGGGCUGCCUGCACACAUCGACUGAACGGCUCUCACACAUGUUGUCAGGGGAGACGCGCCCUCUCGUAGCAGACUGCUCACCCAUAUACAGCCUAACACCAUUAGCCUUAGCCUAGCUUAGCUCGGGUGACCAGACGUCCUCUUUUACCCAGACGCAUUUUUUAGGUCUCGAAAAGAGGAAAUGUCCGAGUAUAAGAGGACGUCUGCUUUGUCUUGUGUUGCAUUGCUUGAUGUUUGACUGUUUGGAAAAUUGUUGACUUGCUAGUUUGUCAUAAACAAAGUAAGUUUAGCCGCUAGCAGACAUCUCGUUAGCAAUGUUAGCAAGCUUGUUAUAAAACGCUAGCAUAGUGAUGCUAGUAUUAAGUGCUCUCGAGUCGGCUUCUUUGUAAUGUUAUAGGGACACUUUUCACUAAACCUUGGAGUGAGACGUUGGGGGUGAAGCUACGGCUGACGGGGGUGUAAGUUACGCUACGUGCGGCGAAUCGGGUUAUAGAUGCGCCGUUUAGAUGAACCAGCGCAGAUUCUUUUUUUUUUGCGUAAUAAAUUGGAUGUGUGGCGUGAGUGCGUGUGAAAACAUGGAAACACGCGUGUCACACGGGGAAACCGUGAGAGUUGGCAGCCCUGUAGCUUUGUUGCUAGCUUGACAACAACUUAACACAGUCAAACAUCAAGCAACACAAAACAAAGCAAGACCCCAAAUAAGUUCCUGAAUAGUCCAGCAGAAAUAUAUACAUGCAACAUAACCUACAAUUUCACUCAUGUGGGCCGAUAUGAUCAUGAGGUCAGAAUGCACACAAAAUUGUACCAAAUAAUACACACUUGAUGCAAUAGGCUACAUGCUAGUGGAUCUUCACCUAAUCCUUUUUAUUUUGAGUUAAGGAAAUUUCUGAGAAUCUGAGAAUAGCAAACUAUGCAAGUAAAUAAAGCAUUGUUCAUCCCACAGACAGUCAAACAGAUAUCAGGUAAAAAAAGGAACCAAUGUUUUAUUUAUUACUAUCAUAGAUAAAUAUAUUCCAUUAUCCUAUUUGUGGUAUCGUAUCGGAAGUAUCGGAAGCCGUAAUAUUUUGGCAGGUAUAGUAUCGAAGUCAUAGUUUUGGUAUCGUGACAACUCUAGUAUUGACCUCUCUUGUCUACGUGUGUGCACACAGUGUUUCUGGAUCAUCCUCCUGAUGAGGUCAUGACAGCACACCCUGAUGAGGUCAUGACAGCACACCCUGAUGAGGUCAUGACAGCACAUCCUGAGCGAACCGCUGCAGCUGCCCCAAACCACCACCUGUUUGACCACAACUUGCUGCCCAUCAUCUUCACCAGCACCACCACCAUCUUCACCACCAUCAUCGUCAUCACCACCAUCUUCACCACCACCAACAUCAUCACCACCAUCAUCACCACCAUCUUCAUCUUCACCACCACCACCAUCUUCACCACCAUCUUCACCACUAUCACCACCAUCAUCUUCACCACCACCACCACCACCAUCUUCACAGCCACCAACAUCAUCACCACCAUCUUCACCAUGACCACCAUCAUCAUCACCACCAUCAACAUCAUUACCACCAUCUUCACCACUAUCACCACCACCAUCUUCACCACCACCAUCAUCCUCACCACCAUCUUGACCAAUACCACCACCACCAUCUUUACCAUAACCACCAUCAUCAUCACCACCACUAUCACCACCACCAUAUUCACCACCACCAUCAUCUUCACCAUCAUCAUCCUCACCACCAUCUUGACCACCACCAUCUUUACCAUGACCACCAUCAUCAUCACCACCACUAUCACCACCACCAUAUUCACCACCACCAUCAUCCUCACCACCAUCUUGACCACCACCAUCAUCACCACCACCAUCUUCACCACCACCACCACCAUCUUCACCACGACCACCAUCAUCAUCGACAUCAUCAGCUCAGAUGGAGACAGCAGGUGCUUCGCCCAAAUACCGCAGCCUGGCACGGCGGGGCACGUGUCAACCGACGGGGUGUCUUACCGGUCCCCUCCUCUUCAGAGAGAUGUUCUUCCACAGCAGGAGAUGGAGCUGGUGCAGGAAUCCCAUUUUGCUUCGGUCCCGUUGUGUCACUCAACGGAGCAGAUUAGCUCGCCGGUACCGGCGGCGGCCUGUGACUGGAUGUGAAUAACCGGGGAUUCUGUGCCGGUGCCGAGCAUCCCGCCCGAGCCUGUUGUUGCGGUGCUGAGAUGCGCAGGUUCUGCUAACGAUCAGUAUUAAGAAGCUCGCGUUUCUCGCUUUGUCGCAGUCGUAACGGGACCGACUGGUUCCCGUCUGUCAUCCUCUGCGGUCCGAGCAGCGCGGCGAGCUGCUCCUCCGGUUCACUAGUGCACCAGGGACGCGAAGGGGACGCGCAGACAGCCGCUGUUAAGCUCACCGGAGGAAUAAAACCACUUCCGGCCUGCCCUUUAGAAACAAAAGCCCCGCCAGCUCAGCGAUGGACCAGGGCUUGUAACGCCUGCACCGUUAAAUAUAAUAAAAAGCCCUCUUAUUUUAAUAAUGAAAUAUCAGUUGUGAUUUUGUGAGUAGAAUCAAAAGCAUUCAGUCAUUUCAUGGGACUACGUCAGCCUCAUAAAGGGACGGGGAGCGUUAUGACCAACAGAUGUCCCGUCUCUCUGUCACGUCCAGUCACACAGCUGCUAUUACCUUUAUCUGCUUUAUCUUCCUCAGAAGGCCUUCACACGUUAUGCAGUCAUCCAAUGUUUAGUUAUAUCUAUAAGAUGCUAAAUAGAUGGUUAAUGUUGUAAUAUCAUGAUUAUAAGUAUAUUCAAAUAUCUGACUUGAUUAAUGACCAUAACAGUCAAACUCCACUUUGUCCUGAAGGAAGAUGUGAUGUCGCCGAGAAUUUGUUGCCAAAUGCAAAAGACAGGGCAAAAUGACACACAAAAAGGCCUGUUGAGGCACUGCAGCAUUUCUCAUCCGCUUACGUGACAUUUGAUUGAUGCCAAACACUUUGGUACUGACUUAAAGAUACUGCACCAGACGUGGGAGUCCGUUGUGUAAUAGUGAGUGUCGGGGGACGGUUGUUCGUUAGUUAAAGGGGUCAUAAAAUGUUGUGGAGUAUAAAGCGUUAUUUCCAUUUGAAAUACAGAAAUGAAAGAAUACUCAAAUAAAGUAUAAGGAAGAUUGUACUGAGUUACAGUGCAUUGAUGUGCUAAUAUAAUGUCGGUAGCGCUUCUGGCUGUAUUGAUGUACUAAACCCAUGUUACAUGCCGGUUUAAAAGAGACACUGGCAGCACUCAAGGCUUGUGUCUGUCCUCUAUGUUUGAGUGUCCUUUACAAACUGACACAUCUUUGGCAUAUGGAAGCACUAUUAUUGCAAACAAGUAGAAUAUCCAGGAGUUGAGUCUACUUUCACAAAAAAAGAGAGUUGUCAGGGUGUGAUGCACGGGGGUGUCAAUAGACAGUCAACAGUACACAAUAGAUCUAGACAAAAUGUGUUUGGAGAGACAUUUGUCCGACAAGAGACACAGCAAACAAGCAACAAAAUGCAGAAAACGCCUGGUUUUCAUUUUAAAUUGUUGUUUCACUUUAUUCUGAAAGUCUAGCUUCCUGUCUCCAUAAAUGAUAGCGGAAUCCUGUAAAACAUCAGGACGAGAUGUUGUCAAUCAGUGGACACUGGAGGACCACACAGGACAGAGGACAGUGACACCCCCAAAGCUCCAGGAACAGAUGCAUUUCCAUGUUAUUUGACUUGUGUAACACAUUGUUUUGUAGCAGCGGAGAAUGACUUGGGUCACGUGUCUGUCGGACAGUGAGCCUGUGAACAUGUUCCGAUGGAGCUCUGAGGUGAGACCUGUUCUCAGCAGGAACCGGAACGUUCCGUGGUUGCCGUGGUUACCGGAAUGUUCGUCUUCAAACUCACAUUGGAUCGGUCAGAGAAGCAGACAUCUCUACUCUCCCACGAAACCUUCAGACAGAUUCUCUGCCCCCAGAAGUCCACCAGAGACCAUCUGACGAAGUGUACAGAACCUUCUGCAGCACAGAAGUGAGAUUUAUACACUUUUAAAGCCACUGUUGUUUCAUGUAUUUUACCGGUGACCCCAGAUGUUUAUGCUAAUCUUUGUGGUCAUAUUUUCAAUGGUUAGUGCAACUUAAACUACUGGAAACGACUUGUGGGUUUAUCUAAACUAAGGCGACGACUUGUGGGUUUAUCUAAACUAAGGCAACGACUUGUGGGUUUAUCUAAACUAAGGCAACGACUUGUGAGUUUAUCUAAACUAAGGCAACGACUUGUGAGUUUAUCUAAACUAAGGCAACGACUUGUGAGUUCAUCUAAACUAAGGCAACGACUUGUGAGU